rnacentral:rRNA from 1 species
AGGACGAACGCUGGCGGCGUGCUUAACACAUGCAAGUCGAGCGGUAAGGCCUUUCGGGGUACACGAGCGGCGAACGGGUGAGUAACACGUGGGUGAUCUGCCCUGCACUUCGGGAUAAGCCUGGGAAACUGGGUCUAAUACCGGAUAUGACCUCCUAUCGCAUGGUGGGUGGUGGAAAGAUUUAUCGGUGCAGGAUGGGCCCGCGGCCUAUCAGCUUGUUGGUGGGGUAAUGGCCUACCAAGGCGACGACGGGUAGCCGACCUGAGAGGGUGACCGGCCACACUGGGACUGAGACACGGCCCAGACUCCUACGGGAGGCAGCAGUGGGAAUAUUGCACAAUGGGCGAAAGCCUGAUGCAGCGACGCCGCGUGAGGGAUGACGGCCUUCGGGUUGUAAACCUCUUUCAGCAGGACGAAGCGCAAGUGACGGUACCUGCAGAAGAAGCACCGGCUAACGUACGUGCCAGCAGCCGC